GUAUUCACUACAUCGCUAGUCACAUGGGACCCUGGUACCGUAUGAACAUACCGCUUUCAAGUGUCAUUCCAAGUGCCAAUCGCACUUUCGCAGAAUGCCACGUCCAAUCAGCGAUAGGGAAACGAAACCUUAACUUUUCAUCUCUUCACGAGUAUAUCCACAUAAAAAUGGAUAUUAUUUCUUAUUUACCUUACACCUCAUUGCAAUUUUGAACGCAUUUCAAAAUGUUUGCAUUUUACGUUAAAAAUUAUUUUUUUAUUUACAAUGGUGACGACAAUUUCACUGGAUAAGUUUAAAAUACACCGCGUAUUAAUUCUAACUACAACUCAUUUAGACAAUCCAUUUAGACACAUUGUACAUGUUGUAUUAAAUUCGUUGUCUUAACAAAACGUGUGACACACAAAAUGAAAACCUUUCGUUAACAAGACUGGUGUACGGCUGUAUAGAAGACAGACGCAGACAUGAACACAUUCCAAGGUAUUCUUAUACGAGUACAGGAGUGUGCAUACAGUGUUAUACAUCUAUUACAGAAUUUCGGUGAGGUAGGGAGUAAUAGUACUGGCGGUGUGAUCAUUGCAUAAAUCAACGGUUUUGAUGGGCAUCGGUCCAACCGGGGUAGUGUUUGAGGCGGCGGCAAGGGUGCGUGCGCAUAGGCAAUGCACACGAUGUAUGACGGACCCGUACGGCGAGUAGGAGCACUAAAAAGCCACUGUCGUUGCCGUCCACGUUUUACAACCGUUUCUCCUAUGAGCUACCUUCGUCCCCUAUACAUUUAUACGGUUCGUAGAUGUAGGGAGGGCGGCAAUGGCAUAAUAGCGUAAUGUAGUGUAUGCGGCACCUAUGUAGCACGUUGACGGAAGGAGCCGGAGGGAAAAAUAGAGAGCUGGGAAUGAAAAUAAAAAAAGGGGGUUGCCGUGAGGGGGUCGUAAAAAGGCCCCCGACGUUUUGGAUUUUACGAUUGCCCCGCGUGUAAUGCAUUUGUGUGAAUGUACGACGGUGAUCGUUAUACGCGCGCGUGUAUAUGUGCUCAUAGCGGAUAUGGAGAGAAGAGAAACGGCCGCGUCUUAUACAACACCCCCUUUGAGUUUUUGCGCCCCUUCUUACCGGCGACGGGUUCGUGGUGUGCGCGUUUUUGCCGGCUGCCGUCGUCGUCACCGCCGCUACUCGGUUUCGCACCCCGGACGCGCGUGGACGGACGCCUGCAACCCUUCAGACGAUUCGCUGUCGACAACAGAAACUCAUCUCAAGCUGCUUCGGGUAUACAAUUACCACCACACCAGAAUACAGGUGUCGAAUAAAAACUCGAGUGCGUGUGUGUUCGAUGUAGUGAAACGCCGUUAAUGUAUAUCGAUUUAGUUGUGGCAAUUCAUCUUAUGGUGUAUGAUAAUAAUGAACCAUAAGACGUUUAAAAUUUUACAGGUAAUAUAUUUUUUAUUAAACUGAAGGCUUAAGUACAAUAAAAAAGUAA